GACGAACGCUGGCGGCGUGCUUAACACAUGCAAGUCGAACGGCAAGGCCCUGCUUUUGUGCGGUGCUCGAGUGGCGAACGGGUGAGUAACACGUGAGUAUCCUGCCCUUCUCUUUGGUGUAACUUCAGGAAACUGGGGCUACUACCGGAUAGGAUCUCCUGCUGCAUUGUGGGCGUUGGAAAGUUUCGGCGGUUGGGGAUGGACUCGCGGCUUAUGAGCUUGUUGGUGGGGUAGUUGCUUACCAAGGCUUUGACGGGUAGCCGGCCUGAGAGGGUGACCGGCGACAUUGGGACUGAGAUACGGCGCAGUCUCGUACGGGAGGCAACAGGGGGGAACAUGGCACAGUGGGAGGGAGCCUGAUGCAGCAACGCCGCGUGCGGGAUGACGGCCUUCGGGUUGUGAACCGCUUUCGCCUGUGACGAAGCGGGAGUGACGGUAAUGAAUAAAGAAGCACCGGCUAACUACGUG
rnacentral:rRNA from 1 species